rnacentral:lncRNA from 1 species
AUGAUGAAAGGGGCCACCUCCCUCUCUGUCGCUGAGCGUCUGGGUCCAAACCUCAGGGCUGCGACGCAGAGCACGAGGAAAGGAGUUGCCGCGAGGAAGUUUCUCGGUCCAAGGACGGGAUCCCUCAGGGGGCCCUGCGUUCUCCCUCCUGGUCUUCCUCCCGCACCGCCGCUUGGGACCCCACGAGAUUCUCCACCCCGCGCGUUCUCCUCCCGGCUCCCGGCGCUCACCACCCAACCUGGGGGCGCAUCGGGGCCUGGGCGGUGGGACCCGGCCCUCGGGACCGAAAGGCGCCCAGCGGAGAGGGGGCAGUCCUGGAAAGAAAAGGGGCUGGAGAACCAAGAGGUCACCAUUCGAUGGACAGAGACUUCACGCACCACGGCCAUAUCUAUCUGGGACCCUUCAUGUUGAGACAGAUCCUGCCGUUGAGACAGAUCGAUUCGGUGGCAAACUCAGCGAGGGGCAGGGAUGAGCACACAGACUAAACCCUCCCUUCCCUUUUUGAAGACAGCGAGAUGGUGGGAAGCCUGACGGCGGGCGCCGUGUGAGUCCCGGACCUGCCGCUUCCGGCUCGACGACCCUGGGCCGGCUACCGGCGCU